rnacentral:rRNA from 1 species
CAGGCCUAACACAUGCAAGUCGAACGGUAACAGGGAUUAGCUUGCUAAUUUGCUGACGAGUGGCGGACGGGUGAGUAAUGCUUGGGAAUCUGGCUUAUGGAGGGGGAUAACUACGGGAAACUGUAGCUAAUACCGCGUAAUAUCGGAAGAUUAAAGGGUGGGACUUUCGGGCCACCUGCCAUAAGAUGAGCCCAAGUGGGAUUAGGUAGUUGGUUAGGUAAAGGCUGACCAAGCCGACGAUCUCUAGCUGGUCUGAGAGGAUGACCAGCCACACUGGAACUGAGACACGGUCCAGACUCCUACGGGAGGCAGCAGUGGGGAAUAUUGCACAAUGGGGGGAACCCUGAUGCAGCCAUGCCGCGUGAAUGAAGAAGGCCUUCGGGUUGUAAAGUUCUUUCGGUGACGAGGAAGGUUAAUAUGUUAAUAGCAUAUUAAAUUGACGUUAAUCACAGAAGAAGCACCGGCUAACUCCGUGCCAGCAGCCGCGGUAAUACGGGGGGUGCGAGCGUUAAUCGGAAUAACUGGGCGUAAAGGGCACGCAGGCGGUGACUUAAGUGAGAUGUGAAAGCCCCGGGCUUAACCUGGGAAUUGCAUUUCAUACUGGGUCGCUAGAGUACUUUAGGGAGGGGUAGAAUUCCACGUGUAGCGGUGAAAUGCGUAGAGAUGUGGAGGAAUACCGAAGGCGGAGGCAGCCCCUUGGGAAUGUACUGACGCUCAUGUGCGAAAGCGUGGGGAGCAAACAGGAUUAGA